AGGAUGUUGGGUGGCUUAUGGACUGCGCCCGAAUCUGUUCGCGAGUUAACGAGUGUAGCGCUAUAUUCUUUGACGAUGAGAAGAAAACAUGUCAAGUGUUUAUAGACCCCGUGAACCCUACCUGCACGUCAAUCCAAGCUAAAAACAGCAAUAGAUAUUUUCAGAGACAGAACACAGAAAACGAAUGUCUGUAUGGCGGAAAUAAAACUGUGGACGGUGAAUGUUUUUGUGUUGAUGGUUAUGUUGGCGAUAAAUGUCAGCGUCUAAUGAGGGAUUGUUCUGAGGGAUUUGCCUCCGGAUUUUACGACCGAGCGCACACUGAUUUCAUGAUACAGCCAACUUCAUCGGCACCCUUUAGCGUUCAUUGUUACAUGGUGGAUGGUGGACUCACGUUCAUACAGAAGAAUUCUAUUUGGGUGGAUGGACCUUUGGUAUCAUUUAACAGGUCAU